rnacentral:rRNA from 1 species
CCCGCUGAACUUAAGCAUAUCAAUAAGCGGAGGAAAAGAAACCAACAGGGAUUGCCCCAGUAACGGCGAGUGAAGCGGCAACAGCUCAAAUUUGAAAUCUGGCCUUCUGGUCCGAAUUGUAAUUUGUAGAGGAUGACUUUGGUUAGGUACCUUUCGAGUUCCUUGGAACAGGACGCCUUAGAGGGUGAGAGCCCCGUACGAUUGGAUGCCGAGCCUUUGUAAGUCUCCUUCGACGAGUCGAGUAGUUUGGGAAUGCUGCUCUAAAUGGGAGGUAAAUUUCUUCUAAAGCUAAAUACCGGCCAGAGACCGAUAGCGCACAAGUAGAGUGAUCGAAAGAUGAAAAGCACUUUGAAAAGAGGGUUAAAUAGUACGUGAAAUUGUUGAAAGGGAAGGGUUUAUGACCAGACCUUUGCGUUGGGAAUCAUCCGGUGUUCUCACCGGUGCACUUCCCUUCGUUGAGGCCAGCAUCAGUUUUGGUUGGGGGAUAAAGACUUUAGGAAUGUGAUUCCUCCGGGAAUGUUAUAGCCUUUUGUGUAAUACCCUGACCGGGACUGAGGACCGCGCUUCGGCUAGGAUGCUGGCAUAAUGGUCAUCAGCCACCCGUCUUGAAACACGGACCAAGGAGUCGAACAUUUAUGCGAGUGUUUGGGUGUUAAACCCUCACGCGUAAUUAAAGUGAACGGAGGUGAGAGCCCUUACGGGUGCAUCAUCGACCGAUCCUGAUGUCUUCGGAUGGAUUUGAGUAAGAGCAUAACUGUUCGGACCCGAAAGAUGGUGAACUAUGCGUGGAUAGGGUGAAGCCAGAGGAAACUCUGGUGGAGGCUCGCAGCGGUUCUGACGUGCAAAUCGAUCGUCAAAUCUGCGCAUGGGGGCGAAAGACUAAUCGAACCAUCUAGUAGCUGGUUAC